AUGGCGGAGCUGGCCGCAGGCGCUGUGAGCUCGCUACUGGGCGUCAUCCGCAACGAGGCGCAACUGCUCGGCCGCGUCGGGCACGAUGUGCAGUUCAUCCGGGAGGAGAUGGAGAGCAUGCAGAGCUUCUUGACGCACCUGUCAAGGAAGGAGCCCACCGACGGCGAGCACGACGAGCAGAUCCGCACCUGGAUGAACCAGGUCAGGCUGCUCGCCCAGGACAGCAACAACUGCAUCGACAUGUACCUGUACCGUGGUAACCCCGAGCUCCAUCUUGCCAGGGGCGGCCUCCGGCGCUACGUCGCGUGGCUUCCCUGGUUCCUGCACAAAAUGGUGGCGCAGCAUCGCGCGGCCAUCCAGCUACGUGUGCUCAGGGAACGGGCACGCGACAUUGGGGAGCGGCGUUUGAGGUAUGGCGUUGAGGUCCCAGCGAAAGGGACGGGAGCGGAGCAGUCACCUACAGGGGCUGGGCUCAUGCCGGUGGCAACAUCAUCAUCGUCGGCAUAUUUUACCCCAUCACCUGCUGCUUUCGGAGAUGAAGAAGAAGACAACGACAGUCAGCUUAUGGUGGGAAUGGCAGCGACUAAGCAUUCUGCUCCAAUAGGGGCAAUUUACCAGCCUCGUACACCGGAGGACAAUGUUAGGGUGAGGUUGGCCGAAUGGAUAAAAUAUGUUGCACAAGGCAACACUUCUAAGGAGAAAUCAAUAGCAUCUGUUGCCAUUGUGGCACCGGAUAAGGAAGAAACCCUCGCUCUUGCAAUGGAAGCUUCGGCUAUCUGGGAUAAACAUGCCACUGGCAGGCGGUGUGUCUUGGUGGACAUCCCAGGAGUGCACUUUUUUCGUGAUUGGCUUCAAUCCCGGGACAUUCUCUACUACAUCAUGUGUGUGCUGCGCCAGCAAGGUCAAGGCCGGGGAGAGGAGGAGCAAGAUCUUGACAAAAGGAAAACAGCUAUUGGCUCAGAAAAACGGAAGUUGUUUGAUGAAAUAACAAAAAAUAUCAAGAGGAUGAAGCUUGACAACAAGAUUUCAGAGAUCAAGGGUACUAUUACACAAAUAAAGGGCGGCCAGCGGCAGCUCAACCUGGAAGAAAUGAAUGGUGACCAACUAGACCUGUUGAAAUCCUCUAAAGAUGAACCCUUGGGCGUACUCCUCCGAGCCAUGUGGUUGCUGAAGCAAAAGCCAGAUGAUGGUUCGUCUGCUACCAAACCCGUAAACCAAGAAACAAAGGAAGCAACACUUUUAGAGAGGAAAGAAGCAAAACCACUCUCGCAUGAAAAUAUCAUCAAGGAAACAGCCAAGAACCUUAAAAAUCAUAUGGAAGAAAAUGCAGAUGAGAAUCAGAAGCCUAAAGAUCUUACUGAAGAGUCAAGAGCGGAACCAAUUCAUCUCGAGAGAGCCCAUUAUGAACAUAUCCUACGGAUGGUGUUCCCAGUGAAGCCCCUGCAAAUCCGAGAGCAAGACUCCAACCAAGCUACCAUCACUGGAACUACUAUAUUGGCUGAUGACCCAUUUAAAGAAGUAAUCCGCAAGGUCUUAAUGGAGCUGCAGGGUGAUACAUCCAUGAAAAAACUAGAUAAAGCUGAGAUUCAGAAAGACAAAUCCAAGCAACCUGACACACCUGAGUUGAAGGAAUACAACCAGUCCGUAAAGAAACAAGAUGCAACUGCUAGUAAAUCCAAUCUGGAUUGUAUCCCAGUCCCAGAUGCUCUUAUUGAAGAAAUCACAAAGAAGAUUGGACAAAUUGAGUGGAGGUUGAAAGAGCAGCUCAAGAUCAAAGGAAUUAUAGACAAAAUUAAUGAUUGUUUGAAGAUACCAGAUAGUCCCAUCUUGGUUAUCCUCAAACUGGAUAAUGACUUCAUAUCCGGAUGGGAAGACACCAAAAAUGCUUUCAACAUGUUUGGUCGCAUAGCAGGUGCACUGAUGUUGAAAACCACAGAAUAUGCUACACGAGCCAAGGAAUAUUGUUUUCCGCCACAGGAGCCUAUAGACUAUUCUCUUCUUGGCCUCUACCGUGACACUGCAUUCGAGCUUACAAAAAAGCAGAUUACUGAAGAUAGCGCCAAGAUUCUGCUUGACAUCUUGGACAAAUGCAAGUCACAUGAAUUAUGUAUGAAGAUCUUCGUUCAUGCUUUGUAUGCCAACCCAAAAAGGAGCAAUGAGGAGCUACGUAAGUUGCAUGGAACCCUGCAACAGGUUUCAGACAACUCAUUGGACAACAUUGCUAAGAAGAUUUUAAAGUUCUCUUAUGGUGAUCUUCCUAAGGAAUACAAGUCUUGCUUGAUGUACCUGGCUAUUUUCCCUCGACAACAAGCCAUCAAGCCGUCGACCUUGAUAGGACGGUGGGUUGUAGAAGGCCUCAUAGCAAAGGAAGACUGGGCCAGUUCUGUGCGUCAUGCCAAUCGAUGUUUUGAUGCACUUGUCAACCGGUGGCUUGUUUAUCCUGCUGACAUUGGAGCUACAGGUCAUGCAAAGAGUUGUGUGAUAGGUGAUCUAGUUCAUGGAUUCAUUACCAAGAUUGCCAGAAAACAGCGCAUCAUGGAAACACGCCUAUCACAUCACUUGGCUCGCCACUUCUCCAUUUUCAAUGAUCUCCGACUCCGUGGCUCUGACAGAAUCGAUAGAUUCUUCCAAAAGCUCUAUGAAGAAUCAUCUCGAGUAUCUCUGAUCAAGGUGUUAGAUCUUGAUGGUUGCCAAUGCUUUGGAGGGAAGAACCAAAGCUACCUUAAGGACAUAUGCAACACAAUGUUACUGCUCAAGUAUCUGAGCCUAAGGGGAUCAAAUGUUACCCAUCUGCCAAGUGAAAUCAACAACCUCCGUGAACUGGAAGUACUGGAUAUCCGAGAGACCAAGGUGCACCCAUCUGCAACGGUAAAUGUUUUACUCCUGAAGCUCAAGCGUUUGCUAGCUGGUCGAGUUGUUCAGAGUUUAGGGUCAAGCAGUACUGCACUAUCUAGUGUUGAAGUUCCUGACAAAGUAGAAAAAAUGUUAAGCAUGGAGGUAUUGUCCAAUGUCAAGGCACGGAAUAGACAAGAUUUGAAAGAUAUUGGAAAACUGUGGCAGCUAAGGAAGCUUGGUGUGGUUAUUGAACACAAGGACUCACACUUCAAGAAUUUGCUUCGAGCUAUUAGUGAUCUGCAUGAGUGCCUCAAGUCUCUGUCAAUCACUCUUCCCAUGGUAGAUGAAGACCCUUCCAACCAAGAGUUCACAGAAUGGGUUCUUGAACGCUAUAAAGACUCUCCCAAGCUUCUUGAGAGCCUAAGCAUUGUUGGAACCCCACAAACGGUGCAGCUUCUUCGGUUGUUGACCAAAGAUAGUGGCCAACUCCAUCUUGCCAAGGUAACUUUAUCUGGUACCCAUAUGACGUGGGAUGAUCUUGAGGUCCUUGCCAAGCUACCCAAGUUAAUUUCUGUCAGGCUCCGACACAAGGCAUACAUCGAUAGGAAGCUCACUUUCAAGAAGGAGGAAUUUAAGAAUCUCAAGUGCUUUCUUGUUGAGGAUUGUAACAUUACUGACAUCAACUUUGAAGGUGGAGCUCCUAAGCUUGAGAAGAUCAUCCUUUCCUCCAUUGAUAGCCUACAGUAUAUUUAUGGAGUUGAAGGACUUUUAGAACUGAAGGAAGUCGAGUUGAAGAACAACACCAAGCUUUCAUUAUUUGACAAGGCCAGAAACAUAUCCAAGGUGACUCUUUGUCGUACCAUUCUGAGUCAAGAUGAGGUACAAAUUCUGGCCAAGAUAUCUAGCAUGCGCACCCUAGUACUCAAGGAGACAUCUUAUGUACAAAACCAACUUAUCUUCUACAAAGACGACUUCCCAAGGCUCAACCUUCUUAUUGUCGACUUUUCUGCCAUUCCCAAUGUUAGCUUUACUGGCGGAUCUGCUACUAGGCUCGAGAAAAUCAUCUGGUCCUUCAUGAUGGGUACUAUCUCCGGCAUUGACAACCUUCCAAAACUAAAGGAGUUCGAGUUCAAUGGUGAUUUUGUCCCCAAUCAGGUGAACGAAGCAAUUAACAAACAUAAAAACAUUCCCAAGCUUAUACACAACAAACCAGAAAACCAAUACAAAGAAGCGGGAAACAUACAGGAAAAGAAAGAUGUUACAAGAUUCCCAUUCUGCUGGAAGAGACAGGAUUGA
rnacentral:rRNA from 1 species